rnacentral:lncRNA from 1 species
GUGGCUGCCGCCGCGGCACUGCUACGGGACGAGCCGGAGCGCUUGGCCAUGGCGGCCCGAUCCGCACUGGCGCUGCUGCUGCUGCUGCUGCCAGUCCUGCUCCUGCCGGUGCAGAGCCGCUCAGAGCCCGAGACCACCGCACCCACCCCUACCCCAAUCCCGGGUGGCAACUCAUCAGUGAGCAGGCCCCUGCCCAGCAUCGAGCUCCACGCCUGCGGCCCAUACCCCAAACCAGGCCUGCUCAUCCUGCUGGCCCCGCUGGCCCUGUGGCCCAUUCUCCUGUAGGGACGCCCAACCAGCCACCUCUAGGCGGCCGCUGGGACUGGCCUGCCCCAUUGAGCAACAGAGACGCUUGAGAGCCGCCCGCCUCCAUUCCUUGACUUCACUCAGAAAUGGGUCCAGAAAACUGAAUCCCACCAGGACUGGUUUGGAGCAACCAGAGACCGAGGUUUCACCUCCAGGGAUUCCAUGAAGAGCCUCAAUGGAGAUGCCACAUCCUACUGAGUUAAAGAUGGGCUGAGGAACUUGGGUACCCACAAGUCUGCCUUGGGAAUCAAAAGAAAAUAUUUACCUUUAGUUUGGUUCAUUAAAUGCAUGAAGUCAAAAUAUGA